rnacentral:rRNA from 1 species
UACGUAGGGUGCAAGCGUUGUCCGGAAUUAUUGGGCGUAAAGAGCUCGUAGGCGGUUUGUCGCGUCUGCUGUGAAAACUCGGGGCUCAACUCCGAGCUUGCAGUGGGUACGGGCAGACUAGAGUGCGGUAGGGGAGACUGGAAUUCCUGGUGUAGCGGUGGAAUGCGCAGAUAUCAGGAGGAACACCGGUGGCGAAGGCGGGUCUCUGGGCCGUAACUGACGUUCAGGUACGAAAGCGUGGGGAGCAAACAGG